rnacentral:rRNA from 1 species
CGUAGGUGGCAAGCGUUGUCCGGAAUUAUUGGGCGUAAAGCGCGCGCAGGCGGUCCUUUAAGUCUGAUGUGAAAGCCCACGGCUCAACCGUGGAGGGUCAUUGGAAACUGGGGGACUUGAGUACAGAAGAGAAGAGUGGAAUUCCACGUGUAGCGGUGAAAUGCGUAGAGAUGUGGAGGAACACCAGCGGCGAAGGCGACUCUUUGGUCUGUAACUGACGCUGAGGCGCGAAAGCGUGGGGAGCAAACAGGAUUAGAUACCCUGGUAGUCCACGCUGUAAACGAUGAGUGCUAAGUGUUAGAGGGUUUCCGCCCUUUAGUGCUGCAGCUAACGCAUUAAGCACUCCGCCUGGGGAGUACGGCCGCAAGGCUG